rnacentral:rRNA from 1 species
GAUGAACGCUGGCGGCGUGCCUAAUACAUGCAAGUCGAGCGGUAAGGCCCUUCGGGGUACACGAGCGGCGGACGGCUGAGUAACACGUAGGAACGUACCCCAAACUGAGGGAUAGGCACCAGAAAUGGUGUCUAAUACCGCAUGUGGCCUUCGGGCUAAAGCUCCGGCGGUUUGGGAACGGCCUGCGUCCGACUAGCUAGUUGGUAGUGUAAUGGACUACCAAGGCGACGAUCGGUAGCUGGUCUGAGAGGAUGAUCAGCCAGACUGGGACUGAGACACGGCCCAGACUCCUACGGGAGGCAGCAGUAGGGAAUUUUCCACAAUGGGGGCAACCCUGAUGGAGCAACGCGGCGUGCAGGAUGAAGGCCUUCGGGUUGUAAACUGCUUUUAUCUGUGACGAUUAUGACGGUAGCAGAUGAAUAAGGACCUGCUAACUACGUGCCAGCCGCCGCCGUAA